rnacentral:rRNA from 1 species
CGAACGUUAGCGGCGGGCUUAACACAUGCAAGUCGCACGAGAACCUUCUUCGGAAGGCGUAAAGUGGCGCACGGGUGCGUAACACGUAGGUAAUCUGCCCUUCGGCGGGGGAUAACGUUCCGAAAGGAACGCUAAUACCGCAUAAGACCACGGCCUCUAUGGGGGCUGAGGUCAAGGCUGGCCUCUUCAUGAAAGCUAGCACCGAAGAAUGAGCCUGCGGCCCAUCGGCUAGUUGGCGAGGUAAUGGCUCACCAAGGCGAAGACGGGUAGCUGGUCUGAGAGGAUGAUCAGCCACACUGGCACUGAAACACGGGCCAGACUCCUACGGGAGGCAGCAGUGGGGAAUAUUGGACAAUGGGCGCAAGCCUGAUCCAGCCACGCCGCGUGAGUGAUGAAGGCCUUCGGGUUGUAAAGCUCUGUGGGAUGGGACGAAAAAAGCGGAGGCGAAUAGGCUCUGCUCUUGACGGUACCGUCUUAGCAAGCACCGGCUAACUCUGUG